AAACAACCGUAACACCCCCACUGGCGCCUCCCUCUCCCUCUCUCCCCUGAGCCCAACACACGGCUCAAAAGUCUGUGCUGCCCUUCAACUCCCUCCUUAAGGUAACCUCAUGUGUCCCGCCUGACUGUUGGGUUACUGUACCACCACGUGGGAUGUCUGUCUGUCUAGCCUCCCCUCCCACUGUUCCCUGACUCGCGCCGUGCCCGCAGCGUGUCCUGGCCGUGCUGUGUGUGCUGGUGCUGAUGGCCGCCGCCGUGAUGGCUGCUGGCGGACAGGGUGGCUAUGGCGGAGGCUUAGGCUACGGUAGCUAUGGCCCAGGCGGAGGCUACGGUGGCUAUGGCCCAGGCGGAGGCUACGGUAGCGGAGGCAGAGGCUUAGGCUACGGUGGCUAUGGCAAAGGCGGAGGCAACGGUGGCGGAGGCAGUGGCCUCGGUGUCGGAGGCGUGAGUGACAUGGACGGAACCGGAGGCUUCAAUGACGGAACCUUCGUUAGCGGCGCCCGAGGCCCCAUUGGCGGCGGCGGAGGCUUCGGUGGCGGAAGCUUCGGUACCGGCAGCGGAGGCUUCGGUGGCGGCAAAUCCGGCGUCAAGGACGACAACUAAGGCUGAAACGACACACUCGACACCCCCGAGGACCUGCACUGCCCUACUGGUGACGAUGGCGGCGGCGGCGGCAAAGCAAAUGUAUAUGGAAAUAAAUUGGACGAGGAAUAAAACCACUUAAAUUUG